rnacentral:misc_RNA from 1 species
GAUGAAGAACGUAGCGAAAUGCGAUAAGUAAUGUGAAUUGCAGAAUUCAGUGAAUCAUCGAAUCUUUGAACGCACAUUGCGCCCGCCAGCACUCUGGCGGGCAUGCCUGUUCGAGCGUCAUUUCAACCAUCAAGCCCCCAGGGGCUUGUGCUGGGGCCCUGCGGCUGCCCGCAGGCCCUGAAAACCAGUGGCGGGCUCGCUAGUCACACCGAGCGCAGUAGCUCAUCUCGCUCAGGGCGUGCGGCGGGCUCCUGCCGUGAAACCCCCCACUGUAACCCCAAAGGUUGACCUCGGAUCAGGUAGGAAUACCCGCUGAACUUAAGCAUAUCAAUAAGCGGAGGA